rnacentral:rRNA from 1 species
CUUGCUUCUCUUGAGAGCGGCGGACGGGUGAGUAAUGCCUAGGAAUCUGCCUGGUAGUGGGGGAUAACGUUCGGAAACGGACGCUAAUACCGCAUACGUCCUACGGGAGAAAGCAGGGGACCUUCGGGCCUUGCGCUAUCAGAUGAGCCUAGGUCGGAUUAGCUAGUUGGUGGGGUAAUGGCUCACCAAGGCGACGAUCCGUAACUGGUCUGAGAGGAUGAUCAGUCACACUGGAACUGAGACACGGUCCAGACUCCUACGGGAGGCAGCAGUGGGGAAUAUUGGACAAUGGGCGAAAGCCUGAUCCAGCCAUGCCGCGUGUGUGAAGAAGGUCUUCGGAUUGUAAAGCACUUUAAGUUGGGAGGAAGGGUUGUAGAUUAAUACUCUGCAAUUUUGACGUUACCGACAGAAUAAGCACCGGCUAACUCUGUGCCAGCAGCCGCGGUAAUACAGAGGGUGCAAGCGUUAAUCGGAAUUACUGGGCGUAAAGCGCGCGUAGGUGGUUUGUUAAGUUGGAUGUGAAAUCCCCGGGCUCAACCUGGGAACUGCAUUCAAAACUGACUGACUAGAGUAUGGUAGAGGGUGGUGGAAUUUCCUGUGUAGCGGUGAAAUGCGUAGAUAUAGGAAGGAACACCAGUGGCGAAGGCGACCACCUGGACUAAUACUGACACUGAGGUGCGAAAGCGUGGGGAGCAAACAGGAUUAGAUACCCUGGUAGUCCACGCCGUAAACGAUGUCAACUAGCCGUUGGAAGCCUUGAGCUUUUAGUGGCGCAGCUAACGCAUUAAGUUGACCGCCUGGGGAGUACGGCCGCAAGGUUAAAACUC